rnacentral:rRNA from 1 species
UGGGGAAUAUUGCACAAUGGGCGCAAGCCUGAUGCAGCAACGCCGCGUGAGGGACGACGGCCUUCGGGUUGUAAACCUCUUUUAGUAGGGAAGAAGCGAAAGUGACGGUACCUGCAGAAAAAGCACCGGCUAACUACGUGCCAGCAGCCGCGGUAAUACGUAGGGUGCGAGCGUUGUCCGGAAUUAUUGGGCGUAAAGAGCUCGUAGGCGGUCUGUCGCGUCUGCUGUGAAAACCCGAGGCUCAACCUCGGGCCUGCAGUGGGUACGGGCAGACUAGAGUGCGGUAGGGGAGAAUGGAAUUCCUGGUGUAGCGGUGGAAUGCGCAGAUAUCAGGAGGAACACCGAUGGCGAAGGCAGUUCUCUGGGCCGUAACUGACGCUGAGGAGCAAAAGCGUGGGGAGCGAACAGGAUUAGAUACCCUGGUAGUCCACGCCGUAAACGUUGGGCGCUAGAUGUGGGGACCAUUCCACGGUUUCCGUGUCGCAGCUAACGCAUUAAGCGCCCCGCCUGGGGAGUACGGCCGCAAGGCUAAAACUU